CAGUAGCCGCGGGAAAACGAAGGGGGCUAGCGUUGCUCGGAAUGACUGGGCGUAAAGGGCGCGUAGGCGGAUGAUACAGUCAGAUGUGAAAUUCCUGGGCUUAACCUAGGGGCUGCAUUUGAUACGUACUGUCUAGAGUGAGGAAGAGGGUCGUGGAAUUCCCAGUGUAGCGGUGAAAUGCGUAGAUAUAUGGAGGAACACCGGUGGCGAAAGCGGCUCUCUGGUCUGUCACUGACGCUGAGGCUCGAAAGCGUGGGUAGCGAACAGGAUUAGAUACCCGCGUAGUCCCUGUCUCUUAUAC
rnacentral:rRNA from 1 species